ensembl:snRNA U6 U6 spliceosomal RNA
GUGCUCACUUCGGCAGCACAUAUACUAAAAUUGGAACCAUACAGAGAAGAUUAGCAUGGCCCCUGCGCAAGUAUGACACGCAAAUUUGUGAAGCAUUACAUAUUUAA